rnacentral:lncRNA from 1 species
CAGCCCUAUUUUUGACUCAGUGCAGUAUACAGGUCCUCCAUGGAAAGCAGGUUGGUAGCCAUUGUUUUUUCUGCAGUCCUAGUUACCCUCCAAAGUCCGUGUCUCUCCUGUCGGGUUGCAGAGCCAAGCGAGAUAGUUAUAGAGGUGCAGGUGAAAGACUCCAUCAUUCCUCUGUAGAACCGGAUCAGCAGCUCCUUUUGGGCAGUUUGAGCUUCCUGGGUUGGGUGAUUUCUCAAUUUGCUUCUUCUCCAGGGAACGCCGGUAUUUCCUUCUCUGACAUCCUCGCUUUAUGACGAAACCCAGUGGGAGACUCCCUACAGGUUUAACCCCAACCAUUUCCUGGAUGCUGAAGGGAACUUUGUGAAGAAAGAAGCCUUCUUGCCUUUCUCAAUAGGUCGCAGGAACUGCCUUGGAGAAAACCUGGCCAGGAUGGAGCUCUUCAUCUUUGUGGUUGGAUUGUUGCAAAGAUUCGUAUUUCAAGCCCCACCUGGAAUGAAGGAAGAAGACCUGGAACUUACGACAGAACCUGCCUUCACUCGGAGGCCACAUUCCUACUCCACCUGUGCUGUGCCCACCAACUAGGACCCUGGAGAGGUGUGGACUUCAACUCCCAGAAUUCUCUGGCCGCUCUCCUGUCGCUUGGCUUAAUCCAGUAUUCUACUCUUUACAACUGCAUAAGUAAUCUUGCACCAGCGUUUCUUAAGCUUGGCUACUUUAAGAGGGGCAGACUUCAACUCCCAGAAUGCUCCAGCCAGCAUUGCAAGUUGGGAUAUGUUAAAAAACACGGCUGGCUGGGGCAUUCUGGGAGUUGAAGUCCAGACCUUUUAAAGUGGCCAAGGUUAAGAAACACGGAUCUAACACUCAUUUAGAAGCUCUUAUGUUAAAGCAUCUUAAGGCCAUUGACAAAUAUGGUUCCGUGACGCUUUGCAAAAUAUCUGGCACUAUGCUUUAUUUCCAAACUGAAAUCCAAUUUAGAGAUUGCGCUAAAUUAAUGCUACUGCCAUUAAAGUGGAUUGCAAAUGGGUGGAGCUGUUUGUGUCCAGUUGCUAGUAACACAUCCAUUUCUUGAAAAAAAUGGAAUGACAAAUAGAAAUUAUUAUUUACAUAUUUGGGGGGAUUAAAUCUGUGCCAUGGGCGCUGGAAAGGGUGUUGGGUUUUACAAAUAAAGACAGCCCAUUAAAAACGCA